rnacentral:rRNA from 1 species
AUGGAUCCAAAAAUCCGCUCUGUGAUUCCAUAUCCAUGUCAAAUAAUCAGGCUCUGUUUGUUUGGUUGCGGGUGUGACAUAAUCGGUUGUGGGCUAGUUGUAGUGGCAAAUAUACUGUGGCAAGGGAGUUAUGCUUUCCAAAAUGUGUUUGACCAAGUGAUCAGCUUAGAGAAAGAAAGACACACCACUCUUCCACCACUUCCACCCGAUGCCCAACCUCCCCCGAUCUCGCUGCCGCCCCCCGCUUCCCCUGCCUUCCGGCGCCGCCGCCCCCCGCUUACCCUGCCACACGGCGCCGCCGCCCCCCGCUUCCCCUGCAUCCAGGCGCUGCCGCCCUCCCGCUUCCCCUGCCCCGAGGCGCCACUGACCCAACCUCCCGCGUGCCACCUGACUUCCUUCCCCCGCCGCCCCUUGCUCCGGUGGGCCUCCCACCGCUACCAACCGGCGUCGGAACCGUCCCUCGCCCUGGAUCGCACCGCCGUCACUGCCCACGAUGGGGAUCGCGCCACAGGCACCGUCCCACGAUGGGGAUCGAGCCGCAGGCACCGUCCCAUGAUGGGGAUCGCGCCACUGCAACCGCAUCGCCCCACCGUCGGGAUCCUGCUGCCGCGCGACAACCACCGGGAUCCUCCCACCGUGCGACCUUCCUUCACCUGCCACCGUGAACUUCUUCCACCCUCCACCGCGGUCGCUACUCACGCCGCGCGCGUGUGGCGGUGGACGGACGCGAUGGUUUCCUUUGACAUGAACGACCGCAAAGAGUACGUCACUUCCCAGCCGCCCCCUCUCCCUGUGUCUCCUCCUAGCGUGAUUCAUGUGUCGUUCGUUGCGAGAUUGGGAGGUGGCUCGUCGGAUGCUGUUGCCGUGGAUGACGAUGAUCUCGUUCUCGAUAGGAGAAUGAAGAGACACAGGAGAGGGGACGAGGAUCAUGUGCUCACCGUGCAACACAGCGUCACCUCUUCGCUCCGGAGCGUCGGGAUUCUUGCUAGAGAGCAUUCAGUGUCGGAUUUCCUAAUGUGUAUUGUCCUUCUUUCAUUUGUGGUCCACUGUUUGCUGUUGUUGGUUUACAGGGGAGCACAAAAAAUGCAGUUGACCGAGGGCCAUGGUUGUUGA